AACUCAUUCGAACUCCUCCUAGAGUCUUUGUCAGAUUACAACUAAAUUGUCUGUGGAUAGUCUCCAGACAUACGUGGUGCUAAAUUGCGAAGGAAUAGUCGAUAGCUGAAACGAUGACGUAAUGGCGGGCAAUUGAUUUAAUGGAGACACAACACUAAACCAAAUAGAAACAUUAGCAUGGUCAGAAUACAGCUGCUUGGAAAUUCAUGAAACUUGGCAAAAAUAUAAAAGACAUCAUUACACACGUUUUCAGUGUUGAUAUGAUUGACUCCGCCCAACAGGAAGUCGGCCAUUUUGAAAAACGUGCAUUUUACACACAUUUUUUGCAUACUUUGUCGAACUCCUCCUAGGGAAUUUGUUGAAUACUCUUGAUAUUUGUCAACAAUAAACUACUACCAUCCUUGAUGAUAAAUUGCGAAGGAAUAGUCGAUAUCUUAAACGAGGACGAAAUGGCGGACAGUUGAAUUGCUUGAGAUACCCCAUUAAAAUAGGAAGUAAAUACAUUCUGGUGUUAGUAGGUGUUUGAGGAGGUUAAACAGGUUGAACACUCACGAAACUUUUCAGGCCUGCUUGAUUUAAGCAGUACUUUGAUUAAAAAUUGAAAUUUCAUAUAUA